UGACGAGGAAACUCUGUGACCGUAACUCAUUGGUGGUAACAGGUGGCUGAGUGACUGGAGGGCUGACAGAUGGUAAUGCUGGCAAGGGAUCCGGAGCGCACAACAGUUGACGGCAGACGGGAGGAGCAGAUGGAAGAACCGGAGUAUUGCGGGUGAACCAGGUGAAUCCAGGGAAGGGGGUCUAACGCCUUGGUACCACCAAGCCGGGCCUGCCAGAGCAAAAUCUGAGCGGCGGGAAUUCUGAGGAGCUGGUUCUUUGAGCAUGACGUCAAGGCAGGUGGCUGCAGUUGACGGGUGGGUGUGGCCUGCACCUGCGGCUCAUCAAGGAACUUCAUCUCAGGCUUAAAAGUAGUACACAGACAGCUGGAAGAUGCCAGAGUGUUACCCCGUCGUGGUAUGCCUAUGCCCCAGAUCUGUUUCCCGAGCUUUGUACCAGUGAGUUUUUGGAAACCCUGUUUUUGGACUAAUCCUGUCUCCUGUCUUCUCCAGUUUGUCGGAGAAAACUGGAGAAGACAGUCUCCCCGUUCCAAACAGUAAGCGGCGCAGCUUCUGGAAGAUUUCCCCCUGGUUCGAGCCUCAGUAAUAUAUCCUCUUUCUUCUCGCAGUUGUUCCAGCUCUGACGUUCCGACCUCGUCUGUUGCACACAUUAUGUGCCUAUCCUUUGUUGAGCCUGAUAAUAAACAUCUUGAUGUUAGCAGGGCAUGAGCGUCUGCUAACACUAGUGUAUAUUGAACACUGGUGUUCAAUAUUUUUGGUGAUUUCUUUUUAAUAAUAAAUAUAAUCUUUGUUCAAGCUAUGUUAUUUAUGUAAUAAAUUACCAUAUGGUCUGCCAUCUCCUUAUCCACAUCUACCCCUGCUUUGUGAUGGAAGUGGAAACUGCUUUUUUUUUGUUCCCUGCUAGUAGACUUCACAAGUUCAGGCCAGAUAACUUUUUAAAUUUCACACAUUUCUGCAUGAUCCAUCAGCUGAUGUUGCCUGAUAGAUAAUUUGAUACUAAAUAUGGUUAAAUAUUUAAAUAUGCAUGUCAGCAUAGACUGUCCAGGGUUGUGUUGUAUUCUUCCAAAUGGUCACCAGAGGGCGGAGUAGAGCAGCUAUUGGCGCUGGGUUCCCCACGCAAUCAGCUGCACUACAUAAGGUGCUGACUAUCAGUUGACGCCUCAAUGAUUUGUUCCAUGGUACCCCAAGCCUCGAAUCAUUCCCAUGAUUCCUGCUCUGAUAAUAUUGUUGUAGCGUUCUAACCUGCUUUCCAUAUAUCUUCUUCAAGGUUCCUUCCUGGAAUUAGUUUGGGAGUCCUCCAAAAGACUCACCUGCAUCCUCACCUGCAGUUUGCUGACAACAACUUUCUUUAAGUUCCAUGAUUGGCAGCAAAACCUUUCUUGAAUCAGAACCUGUCUUCCCUCUGGCUCCACUGGAGAUUGAAAGCUCACACCCUGGACUCAGUUCACUCCUUCGCAGCACUCAAACCUCCACAAACAGUUGCCAACCCUACUCUGUUUAACUCGGUUCUGCAGGUUGGCUGCCCCAACUCACCUCCACUCCCUCUCUCAUGUUAGUUCCUGUUUGCCCGAUUCCAGUUAAUUUUGAUAUUCAAUAAACUGUUCCACCACC